AUUCCUCAACUGUUAAAUAAUAGUUUUAACAGGCACAACUGGCUUCUGAUUUCCUGAGAUACAACAGGAGAGGUCAGUUGCACUUUAUCACUGCCUUUACCCAUGAAUUUUACUCUUAACUUUGGUCCUUUGGAUUUUAUUUUUGCUUGCAGACUUCUCUCUGCAAUUCCAAAGGGACUCCUGCUUCCAAAAUCCUUUCAAGUACCAGAGUAGAUGCGACCUUCAGUGCUGAGAGUGCUGUCUUCUCCUGAGAUGACACUGUACAAUAUUCUAAGAAGUCUUACGAUGAAGUGACUUCUCAUAUAGUGGUGGCCUGUGAUCAUAGAUGCUUUGUCCCAUCACCUUGGCUGGACUGCACCAUCCAUGGGGACACUGCCUGGAAUGCAGCACUCCAGGAGCAUUGAGGAAGAACUUGAAACAUCUAAAACCGCAGCUGGAUCUGGGAACUGGUGGGCAAGGAACAGAGCUGGCCACGCUGCUGCCCAGAGCCAUGGUCAUGUUGUGAGGAGCUGGCCACGACCCCCAAGCAGACCUUCUGCCACCAAAGCCAAAGAGAUCCAAGUUACAUCCCUGUUCACCAGCCCGGGGAAGGAGCUUCAGGCCCACCAGCUGAGUCUGAAUCUGUCCACCACCAGCAUCUGACCUGGAGUAGCUGCUUCUGUGGCUCAUCCCUUCCCUUGGCGCUGGUGCCCUCUGCUGCCACUCUCAGCCAGGUGAGAGCAAAGACAGGAUCAGGAAUGGUAAGAGAAACUGUCAAAAUCAGUUGAGGAGUAAGUUACUGACCCUCAAAAAUC